rnacentral:rRNA from 1 species
AGGGUUGUCUGCUGGCUCGCAAGGGCAUGUGCACGCCUGUCUCAUCCACUCUCAACUUCUGUGCACUUUUCAUAGGCCGGCUUGUGGGUGCGUUCGCGCACUUGUAGGUGUCGGGCUUAUGCUUUACUACAAACGAUUCAGUUUUAGAAUGUCAUACUUUGCUAUAACGCAAUUUAUAUACAACUUUCAGCAACGGAUCUCUUGGCUCUCGCAUCGAUGAAGAACGCAGCGAAAUGCGAUAAGUAAUGUGAAUUGCAGAAUUCAGUGAAUCAUCGAAUCUUUGAACGCACCUUGCGCUCCUUGGUAUUCCGAGGAGCAUGCCUGUUUGAGUCUCAUGGAAUUCUCAACCUUCGGCUUUAUUGACGAAGGCUUGGACUUGGAGGUCGUGCCGGCUCUCGUAGUCGGCUCCUCUGAAAUGCAUUAGUGCGAACGUUACCAGCCGCUUCAGCGUGAUAAUUAUCUGCGUUGCUGUGGAGGGUAUUCUAGUGUUCGCGCUUCUAACCGUCUUCGGACAAAUUUCUGAACUCUGAGCUCAAAUC